UUUCAAAAAUGUACAUAUAUGAAUAUGUCACAAAUGUACAGGUAUUCACAAACAAUACCUACAACGUACAAGAAACAAAUACUAUAAAUCUUGGUAACAACGUAAAUAACUAUAGAGUCGACUCAUAAAACUCGUCUAUGUUGUAAAACCUACCAUUUAGAGGCAGAAGUUUGCUUUUACUUUUGAAUUUUUUUAAAUUAACUAUUUCCUUAAUAUCAUCUGGUAAUUUAUUAAAAAGCUUUAUGCCGACAUAUACAAAAUUUUUGUGAAAAAACUGCGUCCUUGUAGGAUUUUAUUCUUGCUUCUUGUGUUGUGCUCCAAAACUGUCGCUGCAGUGUUCCCGAGGAUAUGCUUUCGUUUAAAGGUCUUGAAAUAAUCGUCGGCAUGAUGUUGCUUGUCGUACACCGCAUCGGAUUAUUAAUCUUUUUUGGAGUAAGAAUAUCGACUGGUGAAUUUUCCCAGCAGAUUAGUCCAUACUUUAGUCUGCAUUGAAUGUGCCCAAAAUAUAAAAUGAUUUAAUACGU